GGACCGAUUAAAAAACACCACUCCCCACCCGCUGCCCCGAUUCCCACCUCCUCCCUCGACCCACUCCCCCGAAUGCCAGAUCUCGCCGCCGCCUCCUCCCCAAACCGCCGCCGGGGCCGCCUCCUCCCCCAACCUCUGCUUCCCCGAGCCCCUCAUCCCGCCGACGCCCUCUGAUCCCGCCGCGCCGCGCCCUCACCAUGCCCCACGCCGCGCGCGCCUUCCCAGGAACACCCCGCCGCCACGAGCCCUCCCGAGAACCCCCCCCCCCCCCCCCCCCCCCCCCGCCCCCCCCGCCUGCACCCUCCCUGGAACCACCGCAGCCCGCCCUCCCCUGACCCCCGCGCCACCAUGCCGCCACCAGGAUCCAAUCGUCGACGAGCGGCUGUCUGCGAGCCUCCUCCCAGUCGCAAUCGAGGCCAGACGCCUCGAUGCCGUCGUACGCCAUCUGUUGCCCGGCAGACACGCACCAUCCCAGAGCCGUCGUGCCUUCUUGCGCCUCGUCUGGUACGCCGUCUUGCCUCCCCUGCCACCUAAGCUGCCCCGGCGUCGCCCAGCUCCUCCUCCGACGAUGACCCCCCGGCCACGCGAGCCUCCUCGCUGCUCUGCCCCGGCCAUGGGUACCUCCCCGUCCACUCUCCGGCGACGCAAACCACCUCCGCCCGCCGUAGCAGAGGGCAGGCCGCCGUUCGUGGUUUCUGCUCCCCUCCGCCACUAUGUGAGAGAGUUCACCGAUUCAGCGCGACCUUCCCUUUGCUCCAGCGCGGCCUGCCCUUCCCUCUGGUGCGACCUGCCCUCUGCUACGACGAGCACCCCUCUAGCGCGCCUGCACUCUGCUCCGUUGGUGCCUCCCUUCUCUCUCCACUAUGAUGGCAGUGCGGGCACAAAUUUGAAGAGCCAAAGAAAAUGGAAAAAAAGAAUGCAUUAGUAUAGCUAUUCAGCAGAAAAUCGUCAAAGAGAUGUUGCUUCGAUGGGUUUUUGUGUGCUUGUAUUUGAAAGAAUACGUCAAAGAAAAUUCAGCUGCUUGUGUA